UGUAAUGUUUAUUUGGUGCAUCAGUUCAAUG
rnacentral:piRNA from 1 species